UGUAUUUGUUAUUUGUUAUAUGGUGUUGCUUAGUGUAGAUUUUUU
rnacentral:sRNA from 1 species